rnacentral:lncRNA from 1 species
UCCACAUUUUCAAGAACCUAUAAAAUGUUUGAAAAAAAAUAUGUGGUUGGAUCCUCAGAAACCACUGUGUUCAGGAUCUAGAAGAGUUUUAAAUGACCCUGAUAAGAGAUCUAAUUGCCAAAUCCAGUGGGCGAUUUUUAAUCCUUAUUAAAAAAUGAAGCAGCAUUGGAUAAUGUUGACCAUGCCCUCCUUUCUCCUCCCUUGGUUUCUGUCAUAUCACCAUCUCCUAGUUUUUAACCAACUUCUUUGAGUACUCCUGCUCAGUCUACUCUGGGGUUUUCUUCUACACCCGGAAUUCCAUCUUGGUUGUCUUUUCUUGUUAAAUGUUUUCCUUGACAAUCUCAUCCACAUCCAGGUUCCAUGCCCAUUUAUAUUCUAAGCUCCAUCACCGUCUGCACUGGCAGUUCAACUUCAACGGCCCCUGAAAGUCUGCUCCUCCUUUCAUAGAUCCUGAGUAAAUGGCACACUAUUAAUUCAAUGGCUCAAUCCAGAAAUUUGGGAGUCAUCUUACAUUCUUUUUUUUCCCCUCUCAUCUUAUAGUCAAUCAAUCACCAAUUCCUGUCAAUUCGAUUCCUGCAAUCUCUUACAUCUGUCCACUUCUCUUCAUCUAUUAACAGCACAACUCUGGGCCAAGCAUGGUGGCUCACAUCUGUAAUUCUAGCACUCUGGAAGGUCAAGGCAGGAGGAUUGCU